GUCAGCUGCUCCUAGUCCUAUUUCCUCACAGUCAUCUACAUUUGAUGUACAUUUCCCUUUACAGGCCCAGUCAUCUCCCUCAAGUAAGUCAUUCCCUGAUCAUGACAGGCACGAGCCAACACUCUGCGACAAUGUUCUCAUUGUUUGCAGUGAAUUUGGAGCCUGAUGCUAAGGAUGAAAGCCUUUGUCAGCUGUGCAGAAUGCUGCUGCUUCAUGAAAGGAGGGAGAUGGUGAAGACCUCAUAAAAUCUGAUCUCUGAA
rnacentral:lncRNA from 1 species